AGGAACACACGGCUUUUCACCGUGUACUUUUUGCAUUGUCAAAGCUCCAUUUAGAAGCCUAUUAAUCUUGAAACAAGGGAUCCGAAUGUGAGAUAAUUGAUGUAAAAGACGACAACACUCAAAGUACAGGGAAUCGGGAGGAAGAGUGGAGCGGAGCUUCAACCUGCUGUCGCCUAAUUUGUGCAGCACAAAGACAAAGAAACAGACGUGCAAUCCUCGACCCAAAGUCAAUAAGCUAUGUGGCUUAAAGAAUAAUUCUUCCAAAUGGACGUGAUCGUUUGACGUUAACACUUUAUCCACUGUACAACGUUUCUCAUAGAAAGAGAAACAGAUCUGAUAAGACUGAGGUAGAUGAAUAUGAUUUUCAAGCUCAUCAUUGCCCUGUAAAAGUUUAUUAUUUUUAUUCAUUAUAGAAAUUAAACUGGUAUUAAUACGUUAGAGAUAUUCAUGUAUCUAGAAUGUGUAAACAAAGUGUUAAUUACAAUAAAAAUGGUUUGAUU